rnacentral:rRNA from 1 species
UUAUUUAAUGGCCGCGGUAUUUUGACCGUGCAAAGGUAGCAUAAUCAUUAGUCUAUUAAAUGUGGACUUGUAUGAAUGGUUGGACGAGAUAUAUACUGUCUCAUUUAAAAUACAUAGAAUUUAAAUUUUGAGUUAAAAUGCUUAAGUUUUUUUAUUGGACGAGAAGACCCUAUAGAUCUUUAUUAUUUAUUUAUUUUUAUAAUUUAGAUUAUUUUGUUUAAAUUAGAUAACUUAUUUUGUUGGGGUGACAUGGAGAUAUAAUUAACUCUUUAUUUUGUUUUUACAAAGAUUUUUGGUUAUUUGACCUUUUAUUAUUAUUGUAAGAUUAANAUACCUUAGGGAUAACAGCGUAAUUCUUUUUGAGAGUUCAUAUCAACAAAGGAGAUUGCGACCUCGAUGUUGGAUUAAGAUUAUAGUUAGGUGUAGAUGCUUAACUGUUAGGUCUGUUCGACCUUUAAUUUCUUACAUGAUCUGAGUUCAA